rnacentral:rRNA from 1 species
GGGUGCAAACGUUGUUCGGAAUUACUGGGCGUAAAGCGUGUGUAGGCGGCCGCGAGAGUCGGAUGUGAAAGCCCUGGGCUCAACUCAGGAAGUGCACCCGAUACUACGUGGCUAGAGUACCGGAGAGGUUGGUAGAAUUCUCGGUGUAGAGGUGAAAUUCGUAGAUAUCGAGAGGAAUACCUGUGGCGAAGGCGGCCAACUGGACGAGUACUGACGCUGAGACACGAAAGCGUGGGGAGCAAACAGG